UACGUAGGGGGCAAGCGUUGUCCGGAUUUACUGGGCGUAAAGAGCUUGUAGGUGGUUUGUCGCGUUGUUCGUGAAAUCUCACGGCUCAACUGUGAGCGUGCGGGCGAUACGGGCAGACUAGAGUACUGCAGGGGAGACUGGAAUUCCUGGUGUAGCGGUGGAAUGCGCAGAUAUCAGGAGGAACACCGGUGGCGAAGGCGGGUCUCUGGGCAGUAACUGACGCUGAGAAGCGAAAGCGUGGGGAGCGAACAGG
rnacentral:rRNA from 1 species